rnacentral:rRNA from 1 species
CGGCUGCUUAACAUGCAAGUCGAACGGCAGCACGGGAGCAAUCCUGGUGGCGAGUGGCGAACGGGUGAGUAAUACAUCGGAACGUGCCCAAUCGUGGGGGAUAACGCAGCGAAAGCUGUGCUAAUACCGCAUAAGAUCUACGGAUGAAAGCAGGGGACCGCAAGGCCUUGCGCGAAUGGAGCGGCCGAUGGCAGAUUAGGUAGUUGGUGAGGUAAAGGCUCACCAAGCCUUCCAUCUGUAGCUGGUCUGAAAGGACCACCAGCCACACUGGGACUGAGACACCGCCCAUACUCCUACGGGAGGCAGCAGUGGGGAAUUUUGGACAAUGGGCCAAAGCCUGAUCCAGCCAUGCCGCGUGCACGACGACGGCCUUCGGGUUGUAAACUGCUUUUGAACGCAACUUAUUUGCUUUUUCUACUAAAGAGGGC